CCUACGGGAGGCAGCAGUGAGGAAUAUUGGUCAAUGGUCGGGAGACUGAACCAGCCAAGCCGCGUGAGGGAGGACGGUACAGAGUAUCGUAAACCUCUUUUGUCAGGGAACAAAGGCGGGGACGUGUCCCCGGAUGAGUGUACCUGAAGAAAAAGCAUCGGCUAACUCCGUGCCAGCAGCCGCGGUAAUACGGAGGAUGCGAGCAUUAUCCGGAUUUAUUGGGUUUAAAGGGUGCGCAGGCGGUCUGUUAAGUCAGCGGUAAAAGCCCGGGGCUCAACCCCGCCCCGCCGUUGAAACUGGCAGUCUCGAGUUGGAGAGAAGUAGGCGGAAUGCGCGGUGUAGCGGUGAAAUGCAUAGAUAUCGCGCAGAACUCCGAUUGCGAAGGCAGCAUGCCGGCUCCACACUGACGCUGAGGCACGAAAGCGUGGGUAUCGAACAGGAUUAGAUACCCGAGUAGUC
rnacentral:rRNA from 1 species